CGAUUUCUGACAAACAUCAAUGAUUUGCCGAUUUUAAACAAUGGGAGAGCUCUGUAUAAAAUGAUGUACGGGAGCUUCUCUUAUUCAGUGUGAACUGUGAAGAGGAAUCAACAGGCUUAAACAUGGUCAGGACUUUUCUGUUGUUGGUUGUUCUCAUCGCCUCUUGUUUUGCUGCUCCAGGUGAGCGAGUAAGAAGACACGGCUACGACUAUGGGCACGGCGGCUACGGUGGCGGUGGCGGCUACGGCGGUGGCUACGGCGGCCACGGGGCGGUGCCCUACGGAGGGGGAGCUCAUAUCCCCGUCUCACAGUCCUUCUCGAAGUCCUCUGCUAGUGCUAGCUCUGUUGGGGGAACUAUUGUGGGGUGAAUUUGAAAGUUGACAAUUAUGAGAUAAAGUUUUCCUAGACGUCCGCAAUUCUUCGAUGAUAAAUUAGUGAAUAGAAUAAGUUAGGUAAUAAAUAAACUUAGAAUAAUUUGAACAGUAUUAUGACUAAUGACAGUAUUUGUAAUGUGAUGUUUUUUUUUUUAAUUUUUGUGUAGCACUCAUUUGGUUUAUUUUUAAGAUUAAAUUAUA
rnacentral:lncRNA from 1 species